rnacentral:rRNA from 1 species
GACGAACGCUGGCGGCGUGCUUAACACAUGCAAGUCGAACGAAGAGCGAUGGAAGCUUGCUUCUAUCAAUCUUAGUGGCGAACGGGUGAGUAACGCGUAAUCAACCUGCCCUUCAGAGGGGGACAACAGUUGGAAACGACUGCUAAUACCGCAUACGAUCUAACCUCGGCAUCGAGGAUAGAUGAAAGGUGGCCUCUACAUGUAAGCUAUCACUGAAGGAGGGGAUUGCGUCUGAUUAGCUAGUUGGAGGGGUAACGGCCCACCAAGGCGAUGAUCAGUAGCCGGUCUGAGAGGAUGAACGGCCACAUUGGGACUGAGGCACGGCCCAGACUCCUACGGGAGGCAGCAGUGGGGAAUCUUCCGCAAUGGACGAAAGUCUGACGGAGCAACGCCGCGUGAGGGAUGACGGCCUUCGGGUUGUAAAGCUCUGUUAAUCGGGACGAAAGGCCUUCUUGCGAAUAGUUAGAAGGAUUGACGGUACCGGAAUAGAAAGCCACGGCUAACUACGUG